UACGGGGGGUGCGAGCGUUGUCCGGAAUCACUGGGCGUAAAGGGCGCGUAGGUGGUUUGAUAAGGGUGUGGUGAAAGUCCGGGGCUCAACCCCGGAUCUGCCGUGCCGACUGUCAAACUCGAGGACUGUAGAGGCAGACGGAAUUCCGGGUGUAGCGGUGGAAUGCGUAGAGAUCCGGAGGAAGACCGGUGGCGAAGGCGGUCUGCUGGGCAGUUUCUGACACUGAGGCGCGACAGCGUUGGGAGCAAACAG
rnacentral:rRNA from 1 species